UACGUAGGGUGCGAGCGUUGUCCGGAGUUACUGGGCGUAAAGAGCUCGUAGGCGGUGUGUCACGUCGGCCGUGAAAACCUGCAGCUUAACUGUGGGCGUGCGGUCGAUACGGGCAUCACUGGAGUUCGGCAGGGGGAGACUGGAAUUCCUGGUGUAGCGGUGGAAUGCGCAGAUAUCAGGAGGAACACCGGUGGCGAAGGCGGGGUCUCUGGGCAGUAACUGACGCUGGAGGAGCGAAAGCGUGGGGAGCGAACAGG
rnacentral:rRNA from 1 species